rnacentral:rRNA from 1 species
GACGAACGCUGGCGGCGUGCUUAACACAUGCAAGUCGAACGGAAAGGCCCUGCUUUUGUGGGGUGCUCGAGUGGCGAACGGGUGAGUAACACGAGAGUAACCUGCCCUUGACUUUGGGAUAACUUCAGGAAACUGGGGCUAAUACCGGAUAGGAGCUCCUGCUGCAUGGUGGGGGUUGGAAAGUUUCGGCGGUUGGGGAUGGACUCGCGGCGUAUCAGCUUGGUGGUGGGGUAGUGGCUUACCAAGGCUUUGACGGGUAGCCGGCCUGAGAGGGUGACCGGCCACAUUGGGACUGAGAUACGGCCCAGACUCCUACGGGAGGCAGCGGUGGGGAAUAUUGCACAAUGGGCGGAAGCCUGAUGCAGCAACGCCGCGUGCGGGAUGACGGCCUUCGGGUUGUAAACCGCUUUCGCCUGUGACGAAGCGUGAGUGACGGUAAUGGGUAAAGAAGCACCGGCUAACUACGUG